rnacentral:lncRNA from 1 species
CGAAAGUUGAAGAGGAUGCAUGUGGAUAUCAAUUUGUUGCAGACAGACAAAGCAUCUCCACUUCUACUCAUGUUUUUAUAUUUAUGUUAUAUGUGAUUUUGUGUUAUGUCUUUCUUUACCUUAUUUUGAUUGAGACUGUAAAUUGCAAACUAAUUUCCCCAUUCUGGUUUAGCAUAAAGUGUNCAGUAACAACCAGACUCUCUCUGAAUUGUAUAUAAGGGAGUGCCCCAAUUUGAGAGAAUUACGGGACAGAGAUAGCGGUGGAGAACAAUCCCAACGAAGCUUCACAUCCCUUCGCCAUCUCCAUAUUGUUAACUGCAAAGCAUUGGACUAUUUGCCAUGUGAAAUGAUAGGAUUCUCUCUUGAGGAGAUGUCGUUGGAGGGUCUAUUUAGCCUAAAGAAUCUACCAAAGGUAUUUGACAGCCUCUCAGAAUCGCCUCGUCUGAAAAAUUUAUCAAUAGUUGGCGUUCCUAAAUUUAUGGCCAAUUGUUAUGUUGAGACUCCACAUUUUCCCUAUUUGAGAGACGUAAAAAUGGGUGUCAGUAUGAGCUCGAUGGAGGCUGUAGAUGGCAUAUUACAAGAAUGCUGCCACUCACUAAAUAAGUUAACUCUGGUGGGGAUGGAAAGUUGGGAAUGCGUGCCGGAAUCAAUUCAACAUCUCACUGCUCUUUCUAAGCUAAAGUUAGAUAAUUUUGGAAUGGAAGAGUUAGCUGAAUGGUUUGGGAACCUCUCAUCUCUAAAGGAGUUGAAGUUAGAAAACUGCAAAAGGCUAAAGCGUCUACCCUCUAUGGAUGCAAUGCAGCGCCUCACAACGUUAAAAAAACUAUCUAUUAGGCGUUGCCCAGAAUUAGUGAUUAAAAGGGAGGCAGCUGAUUCUGAAUGGCCCAAGGUUUCCCACAUCCCCCACAUCACCAUUGGCGAUCACAGUGAGUAUCUAUCAAUAUAUUUUCUUGUUUAUUUUUAUAUAUAUAGAAACUAUUACAUGUGUAUUUUAUUUGAAAAAAAAAUGAUUAUCAGAAAUUGAAGUAUCGUAUCUUACUUUAUGGAGUUUAAUUCCAAUUCAGUUGCUAUUCAUUUGGUGCUCCACUUCAUCUCGAUAUGCUUAAACAAUAUGAGAUUAAUUAUUUUGAGUUUGUUUACUACAGAAUUACGGUGAAUCGUCAUUUGUCAUUGAGGUGAUUGUAACAAAUUAGGAGGUGAAGCAAUGGAUCAAAUUGAAGCAAUGAACAAAUUGAGUGAGUGUCCAUUUUGAUUUGAACUUUUGUUGAUAGGAUUAUAAUGCCGAAAGUUGAAGAGGAUGCAUGUGGAUAUCAAUUUGUUGCAGACAGACAAAGCAUCUCCACUUCUACUCAUGUUUUUAUAUUUAUGUUAUAUGUGAUUUUGUGUUAUGUCUUUCUUUACCUUAUUUUGAUUGAGACUGUAAAUUGCAAACUAAUUUCCCCAUUCUGGUUUAGCAUAAAGUGUUGAAGAUUUGAAAUAACUUUUCA